GCCACCAGCCAUAUCACUCUGCAGCUCACAACUGGCAACCCCCUGAAACUAAACAGGUGUGAGCCUGGUCAGUACCUGGAUGGGAGACCCCCUGGGAAAAACUAAGGUUGCUGCUGGAA
ensembl:rRNA 5S_rRNA 5S ribosomal RNA